rnacentral:rRNA from 1 species
GACGAACGCUGGCGGCGUGCUUAACACAUGCAAGUCGAGCGGUAAGGCCCUUUCGGGGGUACACGAGCGGCGAACGGGUGAGUAACACGUGGGUGACCUGCCUUUAGCUCUGGGAUAAGCCUGGGAAACCGGGUCUAAUACCGGAUAUGACUCCGCGGCGCAUGUUGUGGGGUGGAAAGCCUUGUGCGGCUGGAGAUGGGCCCGCGGCCUAUCAGCUUGUUGGUGGGGUGAUGGCCUACCAAGGCGACGACGGGUAGCCGGCCUGAGAGGGCGACCGGCCACACCUGGGACUGAGACACGGCCCAGACUCCUACGGGAGGCAGCAGUGGGGAAUCUUGCGCAAUGGGCGAAAGCCUGACGCAGCGACGCCGCGUGAGGGAUGACGGCCUCGGUU